AUGAGUAGAUUUAAUAAAUGUGAUGUUAUUUUCUCUAUUUCAGAAUUGGACUGUGGGUUGUGGCCAUUAUCCAGAGCACUUAAGUUUUUUUUUUCCAAUCGAGAGUUGAUCUCAUUGUUUGCAACACUCUGCACUCUGAGACUUGAGAAUCGAGAAGCAACAACAACAGACUACGUCGUAGUAUUUUGUGCCGCUGCCCACUUGAUGCUGUAG